CAGAGAGGAAGUGACGCAAGAUUUGCGCAUGCGGGAUACCGAUCGGGUUUCCGGUACGGAUCGGGUAGCGACACCCACCAUAUCCCAGGAUUCAUUGCGAGUCAAAGGUUGAAAAAAAAUGGCGGACAGUUGACGUGAAGCGGUCCAGUAAGCACUCUUCUCUUCACAAUCAGUCCGCAUGUUCUUGGUACCCGUGUUUCUUUGUGGAAUAUGUUGAGCAAACCUGGGGAAGCUUCAGCUCAGGAAAAUAUUGUUGUCAUUGCUGUGAUUCUUCACGUGAUACACUGAUUUACAGGAGAGAUGAGUCCUCCGUCACAGAUGGUUGGUCAGUGAAGAUGGUCGCCUGC